UGGGGAAUAUUGCGCAAUGGGCGAAAGCCUGACGCAGCCACGCCGCGUGUGCGAUGAAGGUCUUCGGAUCGUAAAGCACUGUGGGGGGAGAAGAACAAAGCUGGUGAAGAGCCGGUCCUGACGGUAUCCCCUUAGCAAGCACCGGCUAACUCCGUGCCAGCAGCCGCGGUAAUACGGAGGGUGCAAACGUUGCUCGGAAUCACUGGGCGUAAAGCGCACGUAGGCGGCCUUGUAAGUUGGAUGUGAAAGCCCUGGGCUCAACCCAGGAAGUGCAUCCAAAACUGCAUGGCUUGAGUGCCGGAGGGGUUCAGAGAAUUCCCGGUGUAGAGGUGAAAUUCGUAGAUAUCGGGAGGAAUACCAGUGGCGAAGGCGCUGAACUGGACGGUAACUGACGCUGAGGUGCGAAAGCGUGGGUAGCAAACAGGAUUAGAUACCCUGGUAGUCCACGCCGUAAACGAUGAGUGCUAGGCGGUGGGAGAUUUUGACCCU
rnacentral:rRNA from 1 species